rnacentral:rRNA from 1 species
GCUUCGGCCUUAGUGGCGCACGGGUGCGUAACGCGUGGGAAUCUGCCCCUUGGUUCGGAAUAACAGUUGGAAACGACUGCUAAUACCGGAUGAUGACGUAAGUCCAAAGAUUUAUCGCCGAGGGAUGAGCCCGCGUAGGAUUAGGUAGUUGGUGUGGUAAAGGCGCACCAAGCCGACGAUCCUUAGCUGGUCUGAGAGGAUGAUCAGCCACACUGGGACUGAGACACGGCCCAGACUCCUACGGGAGGCAGCAGUGGGGAAUAUUGGACAAUGGGCGAAAGCCUGAUCCAGCAAUGCCGCGUGAGUGAUGAAGGCCUUAGGGUUGUAAAGCUCUUUUACCCGGGAUGAUAAUGACAGUACCGGGAGAAUAAGCUCCGGCUAACUCCGUGCCAGCAGCCGCGGUAAUACGGAGGGAGCUAGCGUUAUUCGGAAUUACUGGGCGUAAAGCGCACGUAGGCGGCUUUGUAAGUAAGAGGUGAAAGCCCAGAGCUCAACUCUGGAAUUGCC